CCGGGAAGAAGCUUCAAAUUUGUAAUCUGGCGUGCUCCGCGCGUCCGAGUUGUAAUCUAUAGAAGCGUUUUCCGUGCCGGACCGCGUCCAAGUCCCUUGGAACAGGGUAUCAAAGAGGGUGACAAUCCCGUACUUGACGCGACGACCGGUGCUCUGUGAUACGUUUUCUACGAGUCGAGUUGUUUGGGAAUGCAGCUCAAAACGGGUGGUGAAUUCCAUCUAAGGCUAAAUAUUGGCGAGAGACCGAUAGCGAACAAGUACCGUGAGGGAAAGAUGAAAAGCACUUUGGAAAGAGAGUUAAACAGUAUGUGAAAUUGUUGAAAGGGAAACGAUUGAAGUCAGUCGUGAGCUCGGGAUUCAGCCGGUUCUGCCGGUCUACUUCCCGAGUUUGGGUCAACAUCAGUUCCUGUCGGUGGAUAAAGGCUGCGGGAAUGUGGCUCCCUAGGGAGUGUUAUAGCCCGCUGUCGCAUACGCCGGUCGGGACUGAGGAAUGCAGCUCGCCUUUAUGGCCGGGGUUUCGGCCCACGUUCGAGCUUAGGAUGUUGGCAUAAUGGCUUUAAACGACCCGUC
rnacentral:rRNA from 1 species